UACGUAGGGUGCAAGCGUUAAUCGGAAUUACUGGGCGUAAAGCGUGCGCAGGCGGUUUGCUAAGACCGAUGUGAAAUCCCCGGGCUUAACCUGGGAACUGCAUUGGUGACUGGCAAGCUAGAGUGUGGCAGAGGGGGUAGAAUUCCACGUGUAGCAGUGAAAUGCGUAGAGAUGUGGAGGAAUACCGAUGGCGAAGGCAGCCCCUGGCCAACAGUGACGCUCAUGCACGAAAGCGUGGGGAGCAAACAGG
rnacentral:rRNA from 1 species